GUACACUCCUGCGGGAGGCAGCAGUGGGGAAUUUUGGACAAUGGGCGAAAGCCUGAUCCAGCAAUGCCGCGUGCAGGAUGAAGGCCUUCGGGUUGUAAACUGCUUUUGUACGGAACGAAAAAGCUCCUUCUAAUACAGGGGGCCCAUGACGGUACCGUAAGAAUAAGCACCGGCUAACUACGUGCCAGCAGCCGCGGUAAUACGUAGGGUGCGAGCGUUAAUCGGAAUUACUGGGCGUAAAGCGUGCGCAGGCGGUUAUGUAAGACAGAUGUGAAAUCCCCGGGCUCAACCUGGGAACUGCAUUUGUGACUGCAUGGCUAGAGUACGGUAGAGGGGGAUGGAAUUCCGCGUGUAGCAGUGAAAUGCGUAGAUAUGCGGAGGAACACCGAUGGCGAAGGCAAUCCCCUGGACCUGUACUGACGCUCAUGCACGAAAGCGUGGGGAGCAAACAGGAUUAGAAACCCUGGUAGUCCCAUG
rnacentral:rRNA from 1 species